rnacentral:sRNA from 1 species
UGAUACAAGUGUCGAAAGUAUAAAAAUUCGAUUAGGGCUUGCCUGAAAGCGAAUUUAUUAUCUUUUGACACGCCAAAAACAUGAGUAAGCAGCCAUUUUUGUUAAAAAUGAGCAAAUUACAAAUAUUUUUGUAAUUAUUAUAUUAAAUCAUUUGAAAAUGGUUGUCAAUAUCG